UACAGAGGUCCCAAGCGUUGUUCGGAUUCAUUGGGCGUAAAGGGUGCGUAGGUGGCGCCAUAAGUCGGGUGUGAAAUUUCGGAGCUUAACUCCGAAACUGCAUUCGAUACUGCGGUGCUCGAGGACUGGAGAGGAGACUGGAAUUCAUGGUGUAGCAGUGAAAUGCGUAGAGAUCAUGAGGAAGACCAGUGGCGAAGGCGGGUCUCUGGACAGUUCCUGACGCUGAGGCACGAAGGUCAGGGGAGCAAACGGG
rnacentral:rRNA from 1 species